CCUGGAACCGGCCGAGAGUCACCCUUAUAUGCCCAGCACCAGGCAGGCAGGGGCCAAGGAAAGGAACAGAGAAGUGGGAUACAGCCUCCCACCCUGAGUCCCAAAGCAGAGCCCAGUGUCAGCAGAUUAGCUGACUGUGUCCAGGAGAGCAGACCCAAGUUUGGUUGGUUAACAAAAGGAGAGCACACUGCCCAACACCCUGCAAAAUGACCCAAAACUGCUCUUCUCUGAGUCUCCUCAGAGUCCCACUCAUGUCAGCCGAGAAGCCCCCGCCAUGGCAAGUGCAGCAGCUCGGCAAGCGGGGUCCGCCCUCUCAAAAGGAGUUCAUCUUGUCCCUGGUUCCAUGCCAGCAACCCUAAAAGAAAAGAUGUUCGACCUCAUCAGUAAUCAAGAAAAUGCAACUUUAAAGAGGAGGAUGUCACGUUUUCACUUAGAACAGAAACAAAAGGGUUGGUGGAAGACUGGCCCACCAAGGUGUCCACACCCUCCUCCCUGGAUACAUUGGGUUACAUGGCAAGGGGACAUUGAAGUCACAGGCAGAAUUAAGGGUGCUAAUCAGCUGACCUGACCUGAGGAGAGAAGCCUGCUGCACAGCAGAGUCAGUAUUGGAGCAAUGCCAUGUGGAAAGACCCCCUCUGCAGUCAUCCAGACUUCACUGGCUUUGAAGAUGGAAAGGCCAGAGGCUGAGGAUCAGUAUCUCUCCUAGAGAUUCCAAAGGAGCACAGCCCUGCCAACACUUUGAUUUUAGCCCAGUGAGACUCCUGUUGGACUUCUGACUUAUGGAACUGUAAGAUAAUAAACCAUGUUGCUUUUAAACCACUAAGUAUAUGGUAAGUUAUCAUAGCAAUAAUAGGAAACUAAUAUAAGAUCCAAUGUUGAUAGGUAAUUGAGGAACUGGGCAACUAGAUGGUAAAAUCUCCAAAAUACACAAAUACCUCCUACAGCUCAAAAUCAAAA